AACGAACGCUUGCGGCAUGCCUAACACAUGCAAGUCGAACGAGACCUUCGGGUUUAGUGGCGCACGGGUACGUAACGCGUGGGAACCUGCCCUAAGGUUCGGAAUAACUCCCCGAAAGGGGUGCAAAUACCGGAUAAUGUCCUCGGACCAAAGAUUUAGCACCUUUGGAUGGGCCCGCGUUGGAUUAGCUAGUUGGUAGGGUAGAAGCCUACCAAGACGACGAUCCAUAGCUGGUCUGAGAGGAUGAUCAGCAACACUGGGACUGAGACACGGCCCAGACGCCUACGGGAGGCAGCAGUGGGGAAUAUUGGACAAUGGGCGAAAGCCUGAUCCAGCGAUGCCGCGUGAGUGAUGAAGGCCUUAGGGUUGUAAAGCUCUUUUACCCGUGAUGAUAAUGACAGUACCGGGAGAAUAAGCUCCGGCUAACUCCGUG
rnacentral:rRNA from 1 species